CAGAUUAGAGCUUGAGGAAAUUUUAUAAAGCGUUUUAUUUACACUAAAAAGAUAAUAUGUUAAUUUAAUCUGA
rnacentral:tRNA from 1 species